rnacentral:lncRNA from 7 species
GCAGCAGUUUUUGAACACGAAAGUGAAGACGCUUUGGUCGUUAAAGAUCGCAAAUCCCACUCACCUCAAGUCACUUCCCAACUUGGACAUGGCGGUCCACUCCCACCUUCCCGAAACUGCUCGUACGAUCUCAAGCACGGCUCCUCCCUAGUUGUCGGCUCUCGGCCGCAUCACCAUCCCCGUCGCCCCGAGCAGUCUCGUUCUCCAGAAGGGGAGGCCAAAGAACGCAGCGAAGACCAUCAAUUACCAUCUCCAGCGACUUGGGCACAUCAAGUUCCUCUAGGUGCAUGAUUUUGAUAUCAUUUCCGCAUUAGGCUUUACUGCCCUGUGUAGAAGUUCAGGAAGAGAAUUUUUUUUCCAAAAUAGAUUUGCUGAAACGAGGAAUUAAUGUGUUUGCUUAGAUUGGGCAAUGCUCAGCAAAUAACUCUGUCAAACAAUAAUAUAUCAGCAGUAUAUUGAUACUGUUUUUUU